GAAAAUCAGCCCUGAACAGAAGUUGGCAGUCAGUGGUUGAACAUGAAGAAAGCUGGGAGGUGGUGUUUCUUCAACUGCCUCCCUCAUUCUGAUCAUUUUUUCACUUGCCUGGUGAGGCAGGGGGGGUGAGCCCCGAGGGGGGCUCUCGCUUCUGCUGCCAAAUGCCUGGCACGUGCUAUACGCGACCCAUUUUGGGGACAGUGGCAAGUGGGGGGUUUGACUGGGGCAGUACCCCUGUCAAAGCAUUAACGCAAGUGUCCUAAGGCGAGCUCAGGGAGGUCGGAAACCUCCCGCAGAGCAGAAGGGCAAAAGCUUGCUUGAUCUCGAUUUUCAGUACGAAUGCAGACCGUGAAAGCAGGGCCUCAUGACUCUUCUGGCUUUUUGGGUUUCAAGCAGGAGGUAUCAGAAAAGUUACCACAGGGAUAAUUGGCUUGUAGCGGCCAAGCGUUCAUAGUGACUUUGCUUUUUGAUUCUUCGAUGUUGGCUCUUCCUAUCAUUGCGAAGCAGAACUCACCAAGCGUGGGAUUGUUCACCCACUAAUAGGGAACAUGAGCUGGGAUUAGACUGCCGCGAGACAGGUUAGUUUUACC
rnacentral:ncRNA from 1 species